rnacentral:rRNA from 1 species
AGGAUGAACGCUGGCGGCGUGCCUAACACAUGCAAGUCGAACGUCCUGUCUCGCAAGAGGCAGGGAGUGGCGGACGGGUGAGUACCACGUGGGUCAUCUACCGUGAGGUGAGGAAUACCGGCGAGAAAUCGCCGACAAGACCGCAUAGGCUCGAUGCAAGUCGAGCAAAGCUCUUUCGAGAGAGGGAGCGCCACACGAGGAGCCUGCGCCCGAUUAGCUAGCUGGUGGAGUAACGGUUCACCAGGGCGACGAUCGGUAGCUGGUCUGAGAGGACGAUCAGCCACACUGGGAUUGAGAACGGCCCAGACUCCUACGGGGGCAGCAGUGAGGAAUUUUCGUCAAUGGGGGCAACCCUGAACGAGCAACGCCGCGUGCAGGAAGAAGGUUUCGGAUCGUAAACUGCUUUUCUCGGGGAAGAGAACGGACGGUACCCGAGGAAUCAGCCCGGCUAACUACGUGCCAGCAGCCGCGGU